UCGGGUAUGGGGUAACGGUUAACCUAUCGCGCUUUCACCGCGAGGCCCCGGGUUCGACUCCCGGUAUCCGAA